UGUUCCCGUACGAUCACCGAAGUUAAGUGACGCCGAACCUGGUCAGUACCUAGAUGGGUAACCGCUUGGGAAUAGCAGGUGCUGUAAU
rnacentral:rRNA from 1 species